rnacentral:rRNA from 1 species
CAGUCGCCGCGGGAAUACGGAGGGGGCUAGCGUUGUUCGGAAUUACUGGGCGUAAAGCGCACGUAGGCGGAUAUUUAAGUCAGGGGUGAAAUCCCAGAGCUCAACUCUGGAACUGCCUUUGAUACUGGGUAUCUUGAGUAUGGAAGAGGUAAGUGGAAUUCCGAGUGUAGAGGUGAAAUUCGUAGAUAUUCGGAAGAACACCAGUGGCGAAGGCGGGUUUCUAGCUAAUGAUUGACGCUGAUAUGCGAAGGUGCGGGGAGCAAACAGGAUUAGAUACCCGAGUAGUCCCUGUCUCUUAUAC